UGAGAGGAGCUUGCUUUUCUUAGCUUAGUGGCGAACGGGUGAGUAACGCGUGAGUAACCUGCCCUGGAGUGGGGGACAACAGUUGGAAACGACUGCUAAUACCGCAUAGGCCCACGGAUCCGCAUGGAUCUGCGGGAAAAGGAUUUAUUCGCUUCAGGAUGGACUCGCGUCCAAUUAGCUAGUUGGUGAGGUAACGGCUCACCAAGGCGACGAUCAGUAGCCGACCCGAGAGGGUGAUCGGCCACAUUGGAACUGAGACACGGUCCAAACUCC
rnacentral:rRNA from 1 species